rnacentral:lncRNA from 1 species
AUCAGUUAGUGAGCCGCAUCUCAGAGGUGGUUUCCCUCUUGCAACAGUCAGGUGGUGCUGUAACUCAGGAUACGGACCUUGCCCUCAGUUACUCACGUCUUCCACUGGGUAAGAAGGCUGCCUGGAGCUUGAGGGCUCUGUUUCUACCAAAAAUCCCUGGCACAAACUGGUGAGUCUAGGUCCUGAUCCUGUAUUCGAGGCUCUGUUUUGUUGACAGCAGACAAGAGGCCAAGAAGUUGGGAAGGUUUGACAACUCAGAACCCAAUGGAGACCCUCACCAAAGGUGAAAUAAUUGUUGAGCCAGUCAGGAGUUUCUGAUGCUCCCUUGAUUUCCAGGAACCAUAAUUUAUACUUGUCUGUAACAUCUACACGGAAACCUAAUAUAAUGCAGUAGAAAAA